rnacentral:rRNA from 1 species
CCUACGGGAGGCAGCAGUGGGGAAUAUUGGGCAAUGGGCGCAAGCCUGACCCAGCAACGCCGCGUGAAGGAAGAAGGCUUUCGGGUUGUAAACUUCUUUUGUGCGGGAGCAAUAAUGGUCACGUGUGGCCAGACGAGAGUACCGUACGAAUAAGCAUCGGCUAACUCCGUGCCAGCAGCCGCGGUAAUACGGGGGAUGCAAGCGUUAUCCGGAUUUAUUGGGUUUAAAGGGUGCGUAGGCUGUGAGGUAAGUCAGCGGUGAAAUGCCCCCGCUCAACGGGGUGAAGUGCCAUUGAUACUGCCUUGCUGGAAUGCGGAUGCCGUGGGAGGAAUGUGUGGUGUAGCGGUGAAAUGCAUAGAUAUCACACAGAACACCGAUUGCGAAGGCAUCUCACGAAUCCGCGAUUGACGCUGAUGCACGAAAGCGUGGGUAUCAAACAGGAUUAGAUACCCGUGUAGUC